rnacentral:rRNA from 1 species
UACGGGGGGAGCAAGCGUUGUUCGGAUUUACUGGGCGUAAAGGGCGCGUAGGCGGUCGUGACAAGUCACUUGUGAAAUCUCCGGGCUUAACUCGGAACGGUCAAGUGAUACUGUCGGACUAGAGUACAGAAGGGGCAACUGGAAUUCUCGGUGUAGCGGUGAAAUGCGUAGAUAUCGAGAGGAACACCUGCGGCGAAGGCGGCGUCCUGGACCAACACUGACACUGAGGAGCGAAAGCCAGGGGAGCAAACGGG